GGCGGCGUGCCUAAUACAUGCAAGUCGAACGGUCUUUCUAUGGAAGCUUGCUUCCACUGAGAAGAUAGUGGCGAACGGGUGAGUAACACGUGGGUAACCUGCCCAUAAGAGGGGGAUAACAUCCGGAAACGGGUGCUAAUACCGCAUAGUUUUCUUGAUCGCAUGAUUGAGAAAGGAAAGACGGCCUUUGUGCUGUCGCUUAUGGAUGGACCCGCGGCGUAUUAGUUAGUUGGUGAGGUAACGGCUCACCAAGACGAUGAUACGUAGCCGACCUGAGAGGGUGAUCGGCCACAUUGGGACUGAGACACGGCCCAAACUCCUACGGGAGGCAGCAGUAGGGAAUCUUCCGCAAUGGACGAAAGUCUGACGGAGCAACGCCGCGUGAGUGAAGAAAGGUUUUCGGAUCGUAAAACUCUGUUGUCAGAGAAGAACAAGUUGGAGAGUAACUGCUCCAGCCUUGACGGUAUCUGACCAGAAAGCCACGGCUAACUACGUGCCAGCCGCCGC
rnacentral:rRNA from 1 species